rnacentral:rRNA from 1 species
ACAUGCAAGUCGAACGAUGAACCACUUCGGUGGGGAUUAGUGGCGAACGGGUGAGUAACACGUGGGCAAUCUGCCCUUCACUCUGGGACAAGCCCUGGAAACGGGGUCUAAUACCGGAUACCACUACCGCAGGCAUCUGUGGUGGUUGAAAGCUCCGGCGGUGAAGGAUGAGCCCGCGGCCUAUCAGCUUGUUGGUGAGGUAAUGGCUCACCAAGGCGACGACGGGUAGCCGGCCUGAGAGGGCGACCGGCCACACUGGGACUGAGACACGGCCCAGACUCCUACGGGAGGCAGCAGUGGGGAAUAUUGCACAAUGGGCGAAAGCCUGAUGCAGCGACGCCGCGUGAGGGAUGACGGCCUUCGGGUUGUAAACCUCUUUCAGCAGGGAAGAAGCGAAAGUGACGGUACCUGCAGAAGAAGCGCCGGCUAACUACGUGCCAGCAGCCGCGGUAAUACGUAGGGCGCAAGCGUUGUCCGGAAUUAUUGGGCGUAAAGAGCUCGUAGGCGGCUUGUCACGUCGGGUGUGAAAGCCCGGGGCUUAACCCCGGGUCUGCAUUCGAUACGGGCUAGCUAGAGUGUGGUAGGGGAGAUCGGAAUUCCUGGUGUAGCGGUGAAAUGCGCAGAUAUCAGGAGGAACACCGGUGGCGAAGGCGGAUCUCUGGGCCAUUACUGACGCUGAGGAGCGAAAGCGUGGGGAGCGAACAGGAUUAGAUACCCUGGUAGUCCACGCCGUAAACGGUGGGAACUAGGUGUUGGCGACAUUCCACGUCGUCGGUGCCGCAGCUAACGCAUUAAGUUCCCCGCCUGGGGAGUACGGCCGCAAGGCUAAAACUCAAAUGAAUUGACGGCGGCCCGCACAAGCAACGGAGCAGGUGGCUUAAUUCAACGCACCGCGAAGAACCUUUCCCAGGCUUGACAUAUCUCCGGAAAUGCAUCAGAGAUGGAUCGCCCCCUUGUGGUCGG